rnacentral:rRNA from 1 species
GAUGAACGCUGGCGGCGUGCCUAAUACAUGCAAGUCGAACGAACAGACGCGGAUCUUGCUCCUCUCACGUUAGCCGCGGACGGGUGAGUCACACGUGGAUACUCUACCUAUAUUACUGGGAUCACCUGGGGAAACCGGAUCUAAUACCGUAUAAUAUAUUGAACCGCAUGGUUCAAUAGUGAAAUACGGUUUUGCUGUCACUUCUAGAUGCAUCUCCGCCGCAUUAGCUAGUUGGUAAGGUCACGGCCUACCAAGGGGACGAUGCGUAGCCGACCUGAGAGAGUGGUAGGCGGCACUGGAGCUGAGCCGGGGUCAAGACUACUACGGGACGCAGCAGUAUGGAACGGUAGGCAAUAGUCGGAAACAUGACGGAGCAACGCGGCGUGAGUGGUGAAAGUGUUGGGUUCGUAAAGCUCUGUUAUGGGGGGAGAACAAAUGUCUAAGUUACUAUACAGGUCGUGACGGUAACUAGUCAAAAAGCAACGGCUAACUACGUG